AACGUAGGUCACAAGCGUUGUCCGGAAUUACUGGGUGUAAAGGGAGCGCAGGCAGGAGAACAAGUUGGAAGUGAAAUCCAUGGGCUCAACCCAUGAACUGCUUUCAAAACUGUUUUUCUUGAGUAGUGCAGAGGUAGGCGGAAUUCCCGGUGUAGCGGUGGAAUGCGUAGAUAUCGGGAGGAACACCAGUGGCGAAGGCGGCCUACUGGGCACCAACUGACGCUGAGGCUCGAAAGUGUGGGUAGCAAACAGG
rnacentral:rRNA from 1 species